rnacentral:rRNA from 1 species
AUUGAACGCUGGCGGAAUGCUUUACACAUGCAAGUCGAACGGUAGAGGGGGCAACCCCUCGAGAGUGGCGAACGGGUGAGUAAUAUAUCGGAACGUGCCCAGUCGUGGGGGAUAACGUAGCGAAAGUUACGCUAAUACCGCAUACGAUCUAAGGAUGAAAGCGGGGGAUCGGAAGACCUCGCGCGAUUGGCGCGGCCGAUAUCAGAGUAGGUAGUUGGUGGGGUAAGGCUCACCAAGCCAACGAUCUGUAGCUGGUCUGAGUGGACGACCAGCCACACUGGAACCCAGACACGGUCCAGACUCCUACGGGAGGCAGCAAUGGGGAAUUUUGGACAAUGGACGCAAGUCUGGUCCAGCCAUUCCGCGUGCAAGAUGAAGGCCCUCGGGUUGUAAACUGCUUUUGUACGGAACGAAAAGGUCUCUCUUAAUACGGGGGACUCAUGACGGUACCGUAAGAAUAAGCACCGGCUAACUACGUGCCAGCCGCCGCAGUAACAC